UACGAAGGGGGCUAGCGUUGUUCGGAAUUACUGGGCGUAAAGCGCACGUAGGCGGACUUUUAAGUCAGGGGUGAAAUCCCGGGGCUCAACCUCGGAACUGCCUUUGAUACUGGGAGUCUUGAGACCGGAAGAGGUGAGUGGAAUUCCUAGUGUAGAGGUGAAAUUCGUAGAUAUUAGGAAGAACACCAGUGGCGAAGGCGGCUCACUGGUCCGGUUCUGACGCUGAGGUGCGAAAGCGUGGGGAGCAAACAGG
rnacentral:rRNA from 1 species